rnacentral:rRNA from 1 species
GUAGGGGGGGCAAGCGUUGUCCGGAAUCAUUGGGCGUAAAGCGCGUGUAGGCGGGCUUGGGUAAGUCCGGUGUGAAAACUUGGGGGCUCAACUCCAAGCCUGCAUCGGAAACUGCCUCGCUAGAGUCCGGGAGGGAGAGCGGAAUUCCUAGUGUAGCGGUGAAAUGCGCAGAUAUUAGGAAGAACACCGGUGGCGAAGGCGGCUCUCUGGAACGGUACUGACGCUAAGACGCGAAAGCGUGGGGAGCAAACAGGAUUAGAUACCCUGGUAGUCCACGCCGUAAACGAUGGGCACUAGAUGUGGGCGGUGUCGACUCCGUCCGUGUCGUAGCUAACGCAUUAAGUGCCCCGCCUGGGGAGUACGGCCGCAAAGGCUAA